GAUGAACGCUGGCGGCGUGCCUAAUACAUGCAAGUAGAACGCUGAAGCUUGGUGCUUGCACCGAGCGGAUGAGUUGCGCACGGGUGAGUAACGCGUAGGUAACCUGCCUCUUAGCGGGGGAUAACUAUUGGAAACGAUAGCUAAUACCGCAUAAAAGUCGAUAUCGCAUGAUAUUGAUUUGAAAGGUGCAAAUGCAUCACUAAGAGAUGGACCUGCGUUGUAUUAGCUAGUUGGUGAGGUAACGGCUCACCAAGGCGACGAUACAUAGCCGACCUGAGAGGGUGAUCGGCCACACUGGGACUGAGACACGGCCCAGACGCCUACGGGAGGCAGCAGGAGGGAAUCUUCGGCAAGGGGGGCAACCCUGACCGAGCAACGCCGAGUGAGUGAAGAAGGUUUUCGGAUCGUAAAGCUCUGUUGUAAGAGAAGAACGAGUGUGAGAGUGGAAAGUUCACACUGUGACGGUAACUUACCAGAAAGGGACGGCUAACUACGUG
rnacentral:rRNA from 1 species